CCUGAGAAACGGCUACCACAUCCAAGGAAGGCAGCAGGCGCGCAAAUUACCCACUCCCAGCACGGGGAGGUAGUGACGAAAAAUAACGAUACGGGACUCAUCCGAGGCCCCGUAAUCGGAAUGAGCACACUUUAAAUACUUUAACAAGUAUCCAUUGGAGGGCAAGUCUGGUGCCAGCAGCUGCGGUAAUUCCAGCUCCAAUAGCGUAUAAUAAAGUUGUUGCGGUUAAAAAGCUCGUAGUUGAAGUUGUGAAUCGCACUGUUGGUGCACCAAUUUUCGGUGUUUAACUUACAUGUUGCAAUUCGUCCAGUCAGUGGGAUAUGGUAUGUAAUAGUUUGCUUUCGUUCUUUUCUAAAGGCGGAAUGCAGCUAUUGUCAGCCUUUCUCUUUUCACCCAUUACGGUGCUCUUUACUGAGGGAGAGGGUGACGUUUACUUUGAACAAAUUAGAGUGCUUAAAAGAGGCAUUAUGCCUGAAUAUUGUGUGCAUGGAAUAAUAGAAUAAGACCUCGGUUCUAUUUUGUUGGUUUUCUGAACCAGAGGUAAUGAUUGAUAGGAACGGACGGGGGCAUUCGUAUUGAGAGCUUAGAGGUGAAAUUCUUGGACCGUCGCAAGACGGACAGAAGCGAAAGCAUUUGCCAAGAACGUUUUCAUUAAUCAAGAACGAAAGUUAGAGGUUCGAAGGCGAUCAGAUACCGCCCUAGUUCUAACCAUAAACGAUGCCAGCCAGCGAUCCGCCGAAGUUCCUCCGAUGACUUAGCGGGCAGCUUCCGGGAAACCAAAGCUUUUGGGUUCCGGGGGAAGUAUGGUUGCAAAGCUGAAACUUAAAGGAAUUGACGGAAGGGCACCACCAGGAGUGGAGCCUGCGGCUUAAUUUGACUCAACACGGGAAACCUCACCAGGCCCGGACACCGGAAGGAUUGACAGAUUGAGAGCUCUUUCUUGAUUCGGUGGGUGGUGGUGCAUGGCCGUUCUUAGUUGGUGGAACGAUUUGUCUGGUUAAUUCCGAUAACGAACGAGACUC
rnacentral:rRNA from 1 species